UCCUGAGAAGUGACAGCAACUUGAAGCAAAGCAAUUAGGAUGAAAAAGAGGCCCAGCUGCUUGGGGCCAAAGGAAAAUAAACAGAUAGGCCCUGUGUGUACUCCACCGCCAAGAGGAGCCAUUCUUCAUGGGAUGAUUAGCAUUUCCAAUCCCAGCUUCUUCCCCUCCCUUGAAAGAAGAAAAGUGACCCUUGAGCUGCUGCUAUUUUCAGAUCCUCUCUUCCCAGAAUGUCCUGAGGACUUGAUAGUUUGUUUCCUCAUGGAAGUCUUCCCCUGGCCACCUGCCCAGCAGCCCUGCCAGAAAUGGUACCCCUCCCCUCUGAAAUCUGAUUCUUGUCCUGUACCUCUCCUGUGGGUUUUCCCUUGAUUGAUCAAUUGACUCAUUCAUUCUCUCUUUCAACAGACAUAAAUUGGACACCAUUCAUCCAUUUGACAAGUUUAAGCCCUUACUAUGUUCUAGUCACUGUUUUAGAUCCUGGUGUUUCAGUAGUGAAUGAAACAGAUGAAAAUCUCUGCCCUUGGGCCAGGGAUGUGCUUUGGUGGCAGAGCACUUGCCUAGCAUGUGAGAGACCCCUAGGUUUGAUCCCUUGUGCUUUAAAAAAAAAAUUCUGCCAUCAUGGAGCUCAAACUUUAGUAGGAGGAUCAAGUGAAAAUAUAGCAUGGAAAAUGAUGAUAAAUGUUCUGGAGAAAAACUAUCAGGAAAAAGGAAGAAGGAAUGCAGAGAAAGGAGAGGAAGAUUUUAAGUAGGGAGGUCAGGAAAGGCCUAGGAAUCAAAGUGACAUCUGAGCAAAGACCUUGCAGGAGGUGGGGGUGUGAGCCAGGUGUCUAAGUGAGGGAGGUGCAUGCCAGGUAGAAGGACAUCGCUCAAGGACCCAGAGCUGGGAGCGUGCCUGGUGUGUUUUAAGAAUAGCAGGGAGGCUGGGAGAACGUGGUAAGAGGUGAAGUUGGGAAGGAACGGGGUGGAGAGACCCUGAAGAACUUUGGCUUUCACUCUAGUGGAUGGGGAGCCCCCCACAAGGGUUCUGUCUGGAGGAGCAACAGGUCUGACUAGCAUCUGGUUAGGAGGGCUCUGGCUGCCAUGGGAACAGGCUGAGGGAGGAAAUCAUAGAAGCAGGCCAGGGGCGUGGGGCAGUGUGGGAAGGCCUAACUUCUGCCUAACCUCUGUCAGGCAGCUACAUAAACAAGGCAGGGUAAUCUCUAGGGAGAGGAAAGCUUGGGGUGCAGGGUAUCUAGAGUCAGGGUUAAGAGAAAAGCUUGUGAAAGACUGGACAGAGUGCUAGAAGACAUUUUGCAGGGUGGCCACAAAGGGUCAGAAAAACGUUCCCUGUUGCUUUAAGCUCUGUGUGUGUGUGUGUGUGUGUGUGUGUGUGUGUGUGUGUGUGUAUAUGUGUUUGUCAGGACAAAUUUUUCAGUUGCCUCUGAGCUAGACAGAGAGAUUUAAAAACCAAAGCCUCUGGGCUCAGUAAUUCCUAAGAACCUCUGUAAUUUGCCUACCUGCCCCUAGUUUGUGCCCCAGAAUAUGUUCUUGCAGUGAUCAAGUCUAGAUGCCAGGGUAUGAGAGGCUGAGAAUCCCUUGUCCUGGGUUCAGGUUUCUGCUCUUCAACUUAACUGGCUGUGUGACUUUGGGUGACUCAGGCUGGCUUUCUACUGGUUUCCUCACUUUACAAAACAGCUGUGGUAACUAUCCCUGCCAAGGGCAAUGGAGACAGACACUGGCUAUGGGGGGAACUACAGUGCCUUAACUCUGAGGACCCCUGAGCCAGAGAAGAAAAGAGCUCAGGAAGAUUCCUCAGAAUGAAGGAAAAACCAAAUCCAGGGAGCUCGCCGAGCAGCCGGAAGUGCAGCCACACAGAGUUCUGUGAGUGAAAAAGCCUGAGAGCUGAUCAACAAGCACCUCCAUGUCACAAAUCUCACRUGUUCAGCACUGGCAGAAGGCAGGAGCAGGGGGAAGAGUGCUCCGCAAUGUUAAGAAAAAUUACCGUAACUUGGAAAAAAUGCAAAAGGAGGACUGCCGUCCUUCAGCGUCACUCUGGGACAAUGCUGAACAGUGAAGUGCUAUUUAAUUACUAAGGRGCAUGCACCUUUGUUUUAAUAACUCACCGUGGAUUACAGUUSAGAUCAUGUGAGGCCCUGUACUAACUCAUGGAUGCCUGCACAAGUAUGUGCGUGCAUGUAUGUGAAGAUGCAAAAGAUUUUUUUUUCCAGGAAAGAACCACAAAAAUGAUGGUUUUAUUGCCCAGAAGACAUUGUCCAGCAGAAUCUCUAACUUAGCAAACUUAUUUCAGCAUGUUUUUGCCAAUUAAUAUACAAAUUCCUAUCUCUCAAAUGUUCUUUUCAACCAGCUUUGCAUUUUUUUGGUCCCCUUAUUAGCAAAUGAAGAAAUUAUUGACAUGAUUUUUAAAACAUUCUCUGACAGAACCACAAGUGAGGAACUAACUCUGCUGUGCUGUGUGGCUUUGGGCCAAUCACUCAGCUUCUGAACUUGCCAAUCUCAUCUGCCUUAUAGAGGGUACCAAUGUCCAGGAUUGUGGUGRUAUGAAUGGGGAGAUGGAUGUGAAAAGACUUUGCACAGCAUUCACAGGAUACGAAAGUCAGGGUUUAUUGUUAAGACUUAUCAGACUAGGCUGUUCCAGGGUUGGAAGGUCCGAGGCUUCUGAGGGUAGCAUUCUCCAGGCUUGGGAUAUAGGUCAGGGGAAGAAGCUGCGAGGCUAUCUGACACUAGGCUCCAUGCCAAUGCUGUAUUCUUCACUUCUGAUGAGGCCAAACAUUCCCAUGGGUCUCAGGUUCUGGACAACAGAGACCACUCAGGACUACUCAGAGAAGUCUGCCCAAGUCCACAGACGGGCUGAAGGGCUGGGCAAGCAUCUGCCCAGAAGCCAGGACUGGGUAUUCUAAAGGAGGCAAGUCCUCAUCUAGCACUACCAGCCAACAACUCUAACUAGUAGACCCUACAGCCUGGGUUCUUGCAAGCCCUCAUCAUUUUAUUCUGCAAGUAAGGAAGUGCCCCAGCUCAGUGAUAAGCACAGGAUCUCUGCCCUUACUAUAUCUGUGCAUGUGUGUGGCUACACACAUGCAUGCACACACACACAAUGGUGUCACAGCCAGGGGUCCGUUGAGCAAUGCAGGCAGCCAACAUCAGGAAAAUGAGGAGCUGGAUCAGCCUCCCUGCAGAAAGGAGAUGGGUACAGAG